GUUUGAUCUCAGACUGCUGUGCUAGCAAUCAGCGAGACUCCGUGGGCGUAGGACCCUCCGAGCCAGUGAGAUGAACCCGGUACCUCAGAUGGAAAUGCAGAAAUCACCCGUCUUCUGCGUCGCUCAACGCUGGGAGCUGUAGACCGGAGCUGUUCCUAUUCGGCUAUCUUGGCUCCUCCCCCUGGCUGUGGGUUUCUUAUAGAUGGCUUUUAUUACAUUGAGGUGGAGCCAGGGCGUGUGAUGGGAGCACGGGGCCUGAGCUGCAGCAUAAGUUUCCUCUGAUUUUCAACCUGGAAGACGAUACCGCAGAAGCUGUGCCCCUAGAAAGAGGUGGUGCGGAGUACCAGGCUGUGCUGCCCGAGGUCAGAAAGGUUCUUGCAGACGUCCUCCAAGACAUUGCCAACGACAACAUCUCCAGCGCAGAUUACACUCAGGACCCUUCAGUAACUCCCUGCUGUAAUCCCUACCAAAUUGCCUGCCGCUGUCAAGCCGCAUAACAGACCAAUUUUUAUUCCACGAGGAGGAGUACCUGGAAAUUAGGCUGGAGUGCAGUGGCGUGAUCUCGGCUCACU
rnacentral:lncRNA from 1 species